rnacentral:rRNA from 1 species
UCCCGAGCGUUNUCCGGAUUUAUUGGGCGUAAAGCGAGCGCAGGCGGUUUGAUANGUCUGAAGUUAAAGGCUGUGGCUCAACCAUAGUUCGCUUUGGAAACUGUCAAACUUGAGUGCAGAAGGGGAGAGUGGAAUUCCAUGUGUAGCGGUGAAAUGCGUAGAUAUAUGGAGGAACACCGGUGGCGAAAGCGGCUCUCUGGUCUGUAACUGACGCUGAGGCUCGAAAGCGUGGGGAGCGAACAGGAUUAGAUACCCUGGUAGUCCACGCCGUAAACGAUGAGUGCUAGGUGUUGGGUCCUUUCCGGGAUUCAGUGCCGCAGCUAACGCAUUAAGCACUCCGCCUGGGGAGUACGACCGCAAGGUUGAAACUCAAAGGAAUUGACGGGGGCCCGCACAAGCGGUGGAGCAUGUGGUUUAAUUCGAAGCAACGCGAAGAACCUUACCAGGUCUUGACAUCCCGAUGCUAUUUCUAGAGAUAGGAAGUUACUUCGGUACAUCGGUGACAGGUGGUGCAUGGUUGUCGUCAGCUCGUGUCGUGAGAUGUUNGNNUAAGUCCCGCAACGAGCGCAACCCCUAUUGUUAGUUGCCAUCAUUCAGUUGGGCACUCUAGCGAGACUGCCGGUAAUAAACCGGAGGAAGGUGGGGAUGACGUCAAAUCAUCAUGCCCCUUAUGACCUGGGCUACACACGUGCUACAAUGGUUGGUACAACGAGUUGCGAGUCGGUGACGGCGAGCUAAUCUCUUAAAGCCAAUCUCAGUUCGGAUUGUAGGCUGCAACUCGCCUGCAUGAAGUCGGAAUCGCUAGUAAUCGCGGAUCAGCACGCCGCGGUGAAUACGUUCCCGGGCCUUNU